rnacentral:rRNA from 1 species
GAAAUGCGAUAAGUAAUGUGAAUUGCAGAAUUCAGUGAAUCAUCGAAUCUUUGAACGCACAUUGCGCCCCUUGGUAUUCCGAGGGGCAUGCCUGUUCGAGCGUCAUUA